UACGUAGGCAGCGAGCGUUGUUCGGAAUUACUGGGCGUAAAGAGUGUGUAGGCGGUGCUCUAAGUUCGGUGUGAAAUCUCCUGGCUCAACUGGGAGGGUGCGCCGGAAACUGGAGUGCUUGAGCGUGGGAGAGGAAAGCGGAAUUCCUGGUGUAGCGGUGAAAUGCGUAGAUAUUAGGAAGAACACCAGUGGCGGAAGGCGGACCACCGUGG
rnacentral:rRNA from 1 species